AUUGAACGCUGGCGGCAGGCUUAACACAUGCAAGUUCGAGCGGAGAGAGGUAGCUUGCUACUGAUCUUAGCGGCGGACGGGUGAGUAAUACUUAGGAAUCUGGCUAUUAGUGGGGGACAACAUUUCGAAAGGGAUGCUAAUACCGCAUACGUCCUACGGGAGAAAGCAGGGGAUCUUCGGACUUUGCGCUAAUAGAUGAGCCUAAGUCGGAUUAGCUAGUUGGUGGGGUAAAGGCCUACCAAGGCGACGAUCUGUAGCGGGUCUGAGAGGAUGAUCCGCCACACUGGGACUGAGACACGGCCCAGACUCCUACGGGAGGCAGCAGUGGGGAAUAUUGGACAAUGGGGGGAACCCUGAUCC
rnacentral:rRNA from 1 species